rnacentral:lncRNA from 1 species
UGCUCAUGGUUGCUCUCUCAAUGGACAUGAGCAGAGAGAACACUCCAUCCAUGGAGCCUGUUGCUAUGGGUGUUGGCAUAGGAAGCACCGGGAGUUCUCUUUUCACAAUCGUUUUGGGAUGGACCGGCGACUCCAUGAGCCUCACCUUGGUGACUGGAAGCAUGCAACAAUGCCAUCACCAGUUCACCACUGCCCACCCUCUGGCUAUGGAUGCUCUAGUGGAGAAAAUUUAAAUUGAUUUUGGUUCUUUUCUCAGUUCUAAUUUGUCAAAUGCAUCCAUAAGUUAUCGAGCUACUGAGAAUUGUAGGAGAAUCAUGAAUGGAUAGUAUAGUUUUGAAAGGAUAUGAAACUGUAAAAUUAUCAUGUCAAAGCAAGUAAUGAUUGUUGCAUGUU